UACGGGGGGGGGCAAGCGUUGUUCGGAAUUACUGGGCGUAAAGGGCGCGUAGGCGGCCUUCUAAGUCAGACGUGAAAUCCCUCGGCUCAACCGAGGAACUGCGUCUGAUACUGGAAGGCUUGAAUCCGGGAGAGGGAUGUGGAAUUCCAGGUGUAGCGGUGAAAUGCGUAGAUAUCAGGAGGAACACCGGUGGCGAAGGCGGGUCUCUGGGCCGAUAUCGACGCUGAGGAGCGAAAGCGUGGGGGAGCGAACAGG
rnacentral:rRNA from 1 species